GGUCUUCUCACGUAGGUGACCAUUUCCCAUAUCCAGCUAUGUGUGCUCCAAGGGGCAGAAUUGCCUUCCAGACUAUCUCUCCCUCUUCAAAACUUUUGUUCCUGACUCUUCUGUUGUAGGCCCUUGAUACAGCCUGUUUUCCUGCUAAGAGUUGAGGGUGUCAAUUCUGCUUGCAUCCAAUUCUUCCAAUUCCAGCAACAUGGCUUGAG
rnacentral:lncRNA from 1 species